rnacentral:rRNA from 1 species
UUGAACGCUGGCGGCAGGCCUAACACAUGCAAGUCGAGCGGUAACACAGAGAGCUUGCUCUCGGGUGACGAGCGGCGGACGGGUGAGUAAUGUCUGGGAAACUGCCUGAUGGAGGGGGAUAACUACUGGAAACGGUAGCUAAUACCGCAUAACGUCGCAAGACCAAAGUGGGGGACCUUCGGGCCUCAUGCCAUCAGAUGUGCCCAGAUGGGAUUAGCUAGUAGGUGGGGUAACGGCUCACCUAGGCGACGAUCCCUAGCUGGUCUGAGAGGAUGACCAGCCACACUGGAACUGAGACACGGUCCAGACUCCUACGGGAGGCAGCAGUGGGGAAUAUUGCACAAUGGGCGCAAGCCUGAUGCAGCCAUGCCGCGUGUGUGAAGAAGGCCUUCGGGUUGUAAAGCACUUUCAGCGGGGAGGAAGGCGGUGAGGUUAAUAACCUCAUCGAUUGACGUUACCCGCAGAAGAAGCACCGGCUAACUCCGUGCCAGCAGCCGCGGUAAUACGGAGGGUGCAAGCGUUAAUCGGAAUUACUGGGCGUAAAGCGCACGCAGGCGGUCUGUCAAGUCGGAUGUGAAAUCCCCGGGCUCAACCUGGGAACUGCAUUCGAAACUGGCAGGCUAGAGUCUUGUAGAGGGGGGUAGAAUUCCAGGUGUAGCGGUGAAAUGCGUAGAGAUCUGGAGGAAUACCGGUGGCGAAGGCGGCCCCCUGGACAAAGACUGACGCUCAGGUGCGAAAGUGUGGGGAGCAAACAGGAUUAGAUACCCUGGUAGUCCACGCCGUAAACGAUGUCGAUUUGGAGGUUGUGCCCUUGAGGCGUGGCUUCCGGAGCUAACGCGUUAAAUCGACCGCCUGGGGAGUACGGCCGCAAGGUUAAAACUCAAAUGAAUUGACGGGGGCCCGCACAAGCGGUGGAGCAUGUGGUUUAAUUCGAUGCAACGCGAAGAACCUUACCUGGUCUUGACAUCCACAGAACUUUCCAGAGAUGGAUUGGUGCCUUCGGGAACUGUGAGACAGGUGCUGCAUGGCUGUCGUCAGCUCGUGUUGUGAAAUGUUGGGUUAAGUCCCGCAACGAGCGCAACCCUUAUCCUUUGUUGCCAGCGGUUCGGCCGGGAACUCAAAGGAGACUGCCAGUGAUAAACUGGAGGAAGGUGGGGAUGACGUCAAGUCAUCAUGGCCCUUACGACCAGGGCUACACACGUGCUACAAUGGCAUAUACAAAGAGAAGCGACCUCGCGAGAGCAAGCGGACCUCAUAAAGUAUGUCGUAGUCCGGAUUGGAGUCUGCAACUCGACUCCAUGAAGUCGGAAUCGCUAGUAAUCGUAGAUCAGAAUGCUACGGUGAAUACGUUCCCGGGCCUUGUACACACCGCCCGUCACACCAUGGGAGUGGGUUGCAAAAGAAGUAGGUAGCUUAACCUUCGGGAGGGCGCUUACCACUUUGUGAUUCAUGACUGGGGUG